rnacentral:rRNA from 1 species
CUACGGGGGGCACCAGUGAGGAAUAUUGGACAAUGGGCGAGAGCCUGAUCCAGCCAUGCCGCGUGCAGGAAGACUGCCCUAUGGGUUGUAAACUGCUUUUAUACGGGAAGAAACACCGCUACGUGUAGCGGCUUGACGGUACCGUAAGAAUAAGGAUCGGCUAACUCCGUGCCAGCAGCCGCGGUAAUACGGAGGAUCCAAGCGUUAUCCGGAAUCAUUGGGUUUAAAGGGUCCGUAGGUGGAUAAUUAAGUCAGAGGUGAAAUCCUGCAGCUCAACUGUAGAAUUGCCUUUGAUACUGGUUGUCUUGAGUUAUUAUGAAGUAGUUAGAAUAUGUAGUGUAGCGGUGAAAUGCAUAGAUAUUACAUAGAAUACCAAUUGCGAAGGCAGAUUACUAAUAAUGAACUGACACUGAUGGACGAAAGCGUGGGGAGCGAACAGGAUUAGAUAACCCAGUAGUC